rnacentral:rRNA from 1 species
AGUCGAGGGGUAUAAGGAGCUUGCUCCUUAGAGACCGGCGCACGGGUGCGUAACGCGUAUGCAAUCUACCUUUCACAGAGGGAUAGCCCAGAGAAAUUUGGAUUAAUACCUCAUAGUAUAUAUGGAUGGCAUCAUUUGUAUAUUAAAGUCACAACGGUGAAAGAUGAGCAUGCGUCCCAUUAGCUAGUUGGUAAGGUAACGGCUUACCAAGGCGACGAUAGGUAGGGGUCCUGAGAGGGAGAUCCCCCACACUGGUACUGAGACACGGACCAGACUCCUACGGGAGGCAGCAGUGAGGAAUAUUGGUCAAUGGGCGCAAGCCUGAACCAGCCAUGCCGCGUGCAGGAUGAAGCAUCUAUGGUGUGUAAACUGCUUUUGUACGGGAAGAAACAGAGGUUCGUGAACCUCCUUGACGGUACCGUAAGAAUAAGGAUCGGCUAACUCCGUGCCAGCAGCCGCGGUAAUACGGAGGAUCCAAGCGUUAUCCGGAAUCAUUGGGUUUAAAGGGUCCGUAGGCGGUUUGGUAAGUCAGUGGUGAAAGCCCAUCGCUCAACGGUGGAACGGCCAUUGAUACUGCCAGACUUGAAUUACUAGGAAGUAA